GUGAGUCAGGGUGCAAAUCCCAGGCCUUUUCAACCUUAAGCUUGCUCUUCAUCUCAUCUCCAACCGUUUGUCUUCCAACAGCCCAGCGAGUUCGAAGACAAGGCCAUCAAGAAGGUCGACGACCUCCUGGAGAGUUACAUGGGGAUUCGAGACCUCGAGCUCGCGACUACCAUCGUGGAAGCCGGGAGGAACAAGAAGAACCCGGAUGAUUUCGCCGAGGCGCUCGACUCCGUUCUGGGUGACUUCGGUUUUCCUGACGUCUUUCUGUUUGACGUUUGGGGCGCUAUGGGAGGAGACGUGAAGAACAGACGCAUUUAGAGAGUACGUCAGACAUCUGAGAGACAUUCAAGCUUGAUUUGUGACGUCUGUCAUCUGUUUUCAUAUACACAAUCCUCCCAAUUCCCACCUUUAUCCUGAGGAAGGAGAACGUCAAGGUAUUAGCGGCUAAUCGGCAUGCUAACGCAAACGUCAAGUGUGUAAAGCAGUAUGCAGUAGGUCAAACUGUAUUUCCCACCAAUGUGUAUAGCUAACUAGGAUAUAAACCAAUCUUUUAAGUGUUUUACAAGAUAACUUUGACUUUUAGAACGUAUUAUGAACUAGUAUAUGUUAGCUUAGCUUAGACUAGCCUUUGUUUGUUUUGAUGUCUGUUGUGUUAUGUAUAAAUACAUUGUGUUACUGGUGAAAUGAAUGAUCGUUUACGAUUAAUGACAGAUCUUGUGACACGAUUUAACUUGUGUAUAUAUGAAUAAUAAAUAUUUAAUAAAUUCUAUGCACAUCCAAUGUGUAUUUAACUUAAAAAUCUACUAAAUGUGUUUGCGUAUUGUAUAUCCUGUUUUACAAUCCUUUUAGAUGACCUGAUGUGACAUAUUUAAAUAUGUGCAAAGAUUAAAAACAUACCACAAAUGGACUUUUUGUACAUUCACACUUCAUACACAACAAAGAGAGCAACAAAUGGCUCACAAAUUUCCUUUAGUCAACGUGAAAUCAAAAUUGACACUAUUUACGUUGUUAAAACAAA